UCCAGAUAAGAAAUUUGGUACACUUGGUUAAAUUAUAAAGCCUUUCUGAUCCAUUUAUUUCACACAGACGUUUUUAUAGUGAAGUGAUAUUCAUUACACUGAUGAGGAAGUUGUAAUAAGUUUUAAUUAGGUAAUUCUAAUAUUCUAUGGCGAUGCAUGCAAAGUGCCUCCUUCUUUUGCCUCACAUACAAUCACACCCUCACCCUAGCAAGUACAUUCUGCAUAAAAACAAAAUCAAGAAACAUUGAGUAUAAUACAAAAGUGAACUGUGUAAGUAGAAAGGAUUUAAAGAAUCUGCAAUUUCACGUUGUUUAGGUGUCUCAACCUACAGUGGCCCUGAUGCCACGAAAGUGUUCAUAAUACUCUCUUUUGCGUGUGUUUUCUGAAAAAUAUUGAUACUGGCUACCUAAAUCUUUAAAAGUGCAUUAAAGCACUUUCUGCAGGGCGUAGUUGACAUAGUUGAAUUGCAGCACGAAAGUCAUCCGUUCGGUUCCUGGCCUGAAGUCUUUCUGCACCGAGUUUGUAUGUUGCCCCCUGUGCAUGUUCUCUCUGGAUACUCCAGCUUCCUCACACGGUCCAAAAAAAAAACAUGACCGUUAGAGUUAUUGAUGUCUUUAAAAUCAUCCUUCGGUGUGAAUGUCCUGUGUGUCUUUGUAAAGGAUUGGUGACCGGGUCCAGGGCCUACCUCGCCUUUUGCCUUAUGACUGCCGAAGACAGGCACCAGCUCCUUCGCCACACUGCACUGACAGCUGAACAGUCAUCUUCUGGAAAGCACUGUUUGCUAAGCCAGGUCUCUUUGAUGGGUUGGCUAGGAAGAUGGAGCAAAUAUAUGAUGUGGACUAGACAGAGGCUUGUUGUCUGGUGGACAGGCAGAUGAAUAUGGAAGUAUCAGAAGUAGAGUUUGCACAUGUA